rnacentral:misc_RNA from 1 species
UCAAAACAGCGGCCUUCGGGCCUCGCUGCACCCUUGUCUUUUGCGCACCGUAUUGUUUCCUCGGCGGGCUUGCCUGCCGGUUGGACAUCAUAAAACCUUUUUGUAGUUGCAAUCAGCGUCAGAAAAACAGUAAUUAUUA